CCGACAUUUAUUUUCCUUCAAUAUUUGAAUUUUCCCUCUUAAAAUUUUGAAGCAUUUUAAUUGAUUAUUCACUACCAGAAUUACCAUUCUUCCCUAUCGAGUAUCAACCACCAAUACUCCACCUGCGAUUCUUGCUUCCUCUAUUUUUGUUUUGGACAAGGGAAAAAAGUAGAGCUUCUGGUGGCUAAGAUUUGGAACCUUCAUCCCAAGUUAAUUUUGUCAAAUGGAGGAUAGAAGGUGGAUCCGUGAUCCAUCGAAACAAAGUGAAGAAUAUAUUCGAGGGGUUAACAAAUUUCUAGAAUUUGCUUUUCAAAAUUCAGAAGUCAAUGGAAAAAUAUGGUGUCCUUGUAGAAAAUGCGCCAACUGUAAGUUACGUUGUCGCUCCAGUGUUUAUGAACACUUAAUUGAUUCGCGGUAUGGAUUUCUUAGAGGUUAUACGCGGUGGGUAUUUCAUGGUGAGAGACUUGCAACUUCAAGCAGUUCCAAGGGUUAAAAUAUGGAUUGGAUUCAACGCUGUCAAAGAAAAUUACGCAUUUGGGCAUCAGUGACCGUCCAAUUAAGAUUGGACGGUCUAAAAAAAUACCGAUUUUGAUGUUUAGUUUAUAAUUUAAAAUCUGGACCGUCUGAUCUUAAUCUAACAGUCACCGAUGUCUGAAUGUGUGAUUGUGAAAUUCCUCUGUUUGCAUGAACUCGAAUCCUGAAAUACAUUGUCUAUUAAGAUUCUGUUAUGUAUGUAAUAUGAUGUAUUAAGAUUCUGUUAGUUUUUGUUCCAUAGGUUGAAAUAUGACGUUGAUUCAAAUGUAACAUAUUUAUUUAGAUGCUAAAUGAGUUUAUGUUACUAUAUUUAUCAGUUUUUUGGAUAUAGUUUA